rnacentral:tRNA from 1 species
GCGUAGCUCAGUUGGUAGAGCCCCGGAUUGUGAUUCCGGUUGUCGCGGGUUCAAACCCCGUCGU